rnacentral:rRNA from 1 species
GACGAACGCUGGCGGCGUGCUUAACACAUGCAAGUCGAGCGGAAAGGCCCUUCGGGGUACUCGAGCGGCGAACGGGUGAGUAACACGUGAGUAAUCUGCCCUUCACUCUGGGAUAGCCACCGGAAACGGUGAUUAAUACCGGAUACGACCAAUCCCUGCAUGGGGUGUUGGUGGAAACUUUUUUGGGUGGGGGAUGUGCUCGCGGCCUAUCAGCUUGUUGGUGGGGUAAUGGCCUACCAAGGCUUCGACGGGUAGCCGGCCUGAGAGGGUGACCGGCCACACUGGGACUGAGACACAGCCCAGACUCCUACGGGAGGCAGCAGUGGGGAAUAUUGGACAAUGGGCGGAAGCCUGAUCCAGCAACGCCGCGUGAGGGAUGACGGCCUUCGGGUUGUAAACCUCUUUCAGCACCGACGAAGCGCAAGUGACGGUAGGUGCAGAAGAAGGACCGGCCAACUACGUGCCAGCCGCCGCUGUAACAC